AGUCCUGAGGUGCAUAGCAUGUUGAAUUGCAAGUUCAAAGGAGCAGCUUCAAUCCUGCCGGGACUU
rnacentral:tRNA from 1 species